UGGCUGCAUUUCCACAAGCAUAAUAAGAAGCAGGGGAGGCAGGAAAAAAGCAGAGGAAUUGUGGUAUAUUUUAGACUGAGUGCAAGUCCUGCUUUCUUUUUCUUUGCAUACAGAGUAGCAAUAUUACAAAUGCUUUGUCUAGAAAUUUAAAUUGGACUCUGCAACAGCACUGUCCUCAACAGAUCUUGUGCGGUACAUAAUAUAUACUUAUCUAGAGGUACUAAAAUCCUAAGUGUAUUAAAGUUGUUUGUGUUCAAAAGAAACAAAUGUUAAAUCAAUAGAGUGUGGGGCAAUUUGAAUUACUCCAUUUGUGUGGUCAGAGAAAGGCACAUAGAUGAUGUACUACACGUUUUAAGUGAAAAUGCUUUCUGUGUUACUCAUUUUUCAAACAAAGCUGUUCCAAAUCCUGCAUAGUAUAUGAAUGCUUUUGCUGACUUUUUAAAAAAGUUCUCAUUCAUUCUUCACAAUAAUUUAAAUAACUGCAAGUAGACCCUAUGAGAACUGGGGGACAAGACAAUAGAAAAACUUAAAGAUGAGGAACUUACUCUGACUUCUGGGAGCCAAUGUAGGGAUUUAAAGAAGGUGUUGUUCCCUGAACCAUGAGACAAGUGAAUUAUUUUGGCAGUUCUAGAAAGAGCUGAGAGGGUUGAUGUGUGAUGAUGAAAGUCCAGAGAGGAGGAGGCUGCAGGACUCAAAUCAGCACGAUAAUUUCCUAUAUAAUAAUUGCUGACAUGAUUAUUUUCUUGAUAAUGUAAUAAUUUUUAAAUCGUCAUUGUGUUCUUAACUGGCCAUUCAUAUAUUCCAAAAGAAAGAUGGAGUGAUUUUUCCUUAAGGUGGAAGCAAAAAAGCACAUUUCAGAUGUCCUUGGCUUGGAAAAGUCUUUCUGUAUUGUAAAGUAUUUCUGGCAGCAAGCUGAAAAUAAGGUGUGAGAAUUUCAUUCCAUGUGUGACAAUUAAAGUAACACUAGGAAGCUGCCCAUCUGCUCAGUGGCUGAUAUCAACUACUGGAAAGGUGCAAAUAGACUUCUGGGCCUCAAAUCAUUGAAUAAUACAAUAGUAUAUUUUAGCUGGUGAAAUAUAUUUUUGGAACCGCACAUUUUUAAUAAAGUUGUGUUUUGUCUGCUUACACAACAGUCUUAGAAAAGCACUCUUACAUGGAUUAUCUUUUUCUGCAUUUUUCAUCAUGGUAUCAGCAAAACAGUUAUCAGCCCAGUCCAAAGCUCUGCAGGACUCCAGUCUGCACAUAAAGGGCCAUUCGCCCAUAAGCAGGGUUGAGAGACAUGGAUCUUAGAUCCCGUCCCCCAAAACAGACUUUGAUUGAGCAUAUAUGUGCAAUUCUAUUUAAAUGGGAUUUGGGGAUUUGCAUAGGAAAGGUUCCCAUCAAUGUAAGUAUUAAAUAUGGAAAUAUAUGUUAUUUUAAAUAUUUUUACACCAGUAGGGCCGAGGGUUGUUUCUUAACAUAAAUUACAUAUCUGAAAAGUUAGUAUGGCUCCUUAGGUCAUAGGUUUAAUGUGGAAGAUGUGCAAGGAGUGGGGAGAAAAGUUCAUAAUUUGCUCAACAGUCUGCAUUCAAGUUUAGAAAUACAUUUUUAACAACAACAACAAUUUCCCUCCCUUAAAUAGACUAUGUAAUUCUACAGGAGCAUAGCACACACAGUUCUCUAGCAAGGCGCUGUCUCAGGCAGUGGGGUUGCUGCUGCAUCUCAAGCCUUACUUCUAUCGGUCUAUCUAUCUAUCUAUCUAUCUACCUACCUAUCUUUCUGUGGAAUGUGUUAUAUCAGUACAGUCAAUUGCAACAUGCUUUACUUCCUAGAGUGAACAGAGACAGGGGGAUGUGUAACUUCCUGUUCCUGCUGUUACUCAGCAGAUGAGUGUGACUCUAUAAAAGCAGAGUCACGCAGCCAUUCAUUCUCUGUUCUGUUUGAUUCAACUCUUAGUUAAGUCUCUUACAUUUUGUUGGCUGCUGGCUCUUAGCCAGCAGCACUUACGGUAGGCCCAUCCUCACAAAGGAUGUAAGCCACAUUACAUGUUUGUAACCUGAAGCUUAAAGCCUGCCUUCUAGGGUGUGUACUGUGAACAACUUGUAAGUAAACUUAUUGUUAUACUUUUAAAGACAGACUUGUGAAUCUUUAUUGUAUUUUAAGAGGGCAGAAAGGGGACACCAGAGAUAAUCCAUCUGGGCAAGACAGAUUGGAUUAGUCAUUUUGUAGAGAUUCAAAUGAAUCUAAUCAACUAGCUUCUGUGAAUAUAGAGGGAUUUGCUCUGCUACAUCGUGAAUGAAGGAUAAUACUUAACAAAUAUUUCCUUGCCUAUUUUCCUAAACAUCCCCAUACUAUCUAUCCCACCUUUUCCCAGACAGGGAUUCAAGGUGGCUUACAGAUAAAAACAUAGAAAAAAUUAUCAUACUAGCAUUAAGAGGAGAAGAAGGGGCACAUAAAAAUCAUUCUAUAAAUUUUAAAAGUAAAUUAAGACCAAAUCAAAUCACUAAAAUUUAUUUCCCAUUCUUAUCCUUCACAAUUUGGGAUCCUUUCACUGAACUGAACUGUAAAGUUCAACAUCAUAUCUGUACCUUUAUAGAUAUAACAACAAAUGCUGGCUUGACAGUACUAUAGAUAGAAAUAAUUACCCACAGAGCCAAUGUAGCACAUGCAGAAUAAGUGUCAAUUAUUCCUUCAUUUCCCUACUACCUCUGACUUACUGGAGAGGAGCGUGCCCUCAUCAUGAACUUAAAGAAGAGGUCACAGCAUGUCACAUACCAGUCAAUUAUUUUUAGCUUGAAAACUUCUUUUUUUCUUUUUGUGGAAGAAUAUUGGCAUUAAGAUUUUAGAAAAAAGAAGUUUGCAACAUUUGCCAUUGCAAAAGCACAUUGAAGACAUGAAAUUUGAAUGUGGCUUAAAUGUAAGAAACCAAAAUAAAGAUAAACUUUACUUUGUUGUGAGUUUGAGAGUGUGUGUGGGUGUGGGUGUAUCUGUAUUAGGCUGUAUGAUGUCUGAGUCCCUUCUAAUUCCUGGAUCCAAAAAGGGUUAAAAUCUAAUGGAUUUGAAUUAGCCAGGCAAGGGCUGUAGUGGCCCUUAAGUAUGGGUCAUUAGUAUAAGAAAGGAAGUUUCUCAGCAUAAGAAAGUACAAUGGUACCUUGGGUUACAGAUGCUUCAAGUUACAGAUGCUUCGGGUUACAAACUCUGCUAACCAGGAAGUGGUUGCUUCAGGUUAAGAAUGGAAAUCACACGCCAGCGGCGCAGCAGCAGGAGGCCCCAUUAGCGAAAGUGCACCUCAGGUUAAGAACCGUUUCAGGUUAAGAACGGACCUCUGGAACGAAUUAAGUUCUUAACCCGAGGUACCACUGUAAGGACAGAUGUGGGGGGGAGAGGCCUCUCCUUGCUGGUAGUAAGAAGGAGAAUAACCAGAGAGUAGUUGUUUGAGAGAGCUGGGCUAGAAGCAGGCUGCAGGCAGAAGCUUGAGAGUGAGAGCCAUGCUUGAUUUCUGCUUGAAUCCAAGGUUGUGGCUAUGGGAGAAGCAAGACCUUCUGGGGUGUUAAAUCUGUGAGCCCCUCCAUCACAGGCUCAGGUUGUAUAUGACUGUAAAUAAACCAUAUAUCAUAAAGACACCACAGUCUCUGCUGCUCCUCAUUCCAAGGAAACCAAGCCCUGGGUAAGCAUCUAAAACCUCUGGAAUCUCACACUGCUCAGAGAUUGGGGUGGCAUGCAACAAUAUAUAGAACUGGCAGUACCAAGAUUCCCUGUAAUCCUAUUUACCUAUGAGCCAACACUGUUAAAACUUUCUGUAUGGUUACCAGACACAGUACCUAGAUCUGCAUCUGCCCUCAGAUUAAUUGACAGAGGACACAAUGUGUUGCCUUUGGAACAGACAAGUAAUCCUGAUAGUGUCUUAAUUUGUUUACAAUUUGUUUGUAAAUAUUCAAUAAACAAUUUCCAUUCCUUGAUAAAAAGGCUGUUGUCUUGAUUUCUUGUUCUUCUUGUAAGUUUCGCCAUUUCUGCAUAGUCCAUUAAUUUCUGUAACCAUUCUUUUUUUCAUUGGGACUUCUUCUUUCCAUUUUUGUGCGAAUAUCAUUCUUGCGGAAGUGAUUGCAGACAUAAAUAAAUUUCUAUAUUGUUUAGGUAACUCUGACCCCAGAAUUCUCAAGAAAAAGGCUUCUUCUUCCUCCUUUUUUUUUAAACAAAUGUUAACUUAAACAUCUUUUUCAAUUCAUUAUAUAUCAUUUCCCAGUAAGUUUUAACCUUAUUAUAAGACCACCACAUAUGGAAAAAAAGGUACCUUUUCCCCUUUGCAUUUCCAGGACAUAUUCAAUUUGGAUUUGUACAUUUUUGCCAAUCUUUUUGGUGUUAGAUUCCAUCUGUAUAACAUUUUCAUACAGUUUUCUCUUAAACCAUAACAUGCUGUAAAUUUUAUCUCCAUGUUGCACAGUCUUUCCCAUGCCUCCAUUUCUAUGUUAUGACCAAUAUGUAUUGCCCAAUGUAUCAUUGAAGAUUUCACUUGUUCAUCUUUUGUGUCUCAUUCCAAUAAUAUUUUAUACAUUUUAGACAUCACUUUAACUUUACAGUCUAGCAGGUCUCUUUCUAGUUGAGACACUUGUUCCCCAAACUCCUGUUUUUUACCCAUUUUGAAUAUUUUAUUAAAUGAUAAUGUUGUAUCCACAUUGUUAAUAUUCCUGAUAAAUCCUUAAACUUUUAAUUUGAAUUUUCCACCCUCUUUUAACAAAUUUAUAUAAGUUACCCAGUUUUCCGUCAUGUUAUUCUUCUUCACCGCUAUAGCUUCUACUGAUGAAAGCCAUAGUGAAAGCCUUAGCUGGUCCCUCUGUAGCCUCCAGCUGCUUCUGGGUUGCUGCUGGAUUCAAGGAGCACGACACCUUUGGAAGUUUCCAUGCUUUCUUUAUUUGCUACUUUGAUGUUUCAAUUUUCUGUUGGAAUUUAUUUCCAUGCUCUGCUGAUGUGUUUUCACACUCUUCCUAGAGCUGCUUUUGUGAUGAUUGCUUGGUGUGUGUUUUUAUUGUCACCUUCUGUAAAGAUGAUUUCUCUAGAAAUGUGAUUGACAAGUUCAAGAAAAAGAAGCAUACGUUAAUUUCUGCCAUUAUUUCUAAGGAUGCAUGUGUGCUAUGAUUCUGGGAAAGUACAAAGAGCUGUAGUGCAGGAUGUAGUGCAGGAUGCAGUUGUUGGUGUAGAACUGACCUUCCUCAGAAGCUUUGCUUUCAUUUUGGGGCCCUUGUUGUUGCGAAUUUUAUUUUUGUUUUGUUUCGAAAAUGCAACUUUCUAUAUUUUAUACUUGGGGGAGGAAUGUUUAGAUAUAUGGAGGUAACAUAGGCAUAGGCAAACUCUGGCCCUCCCGAUGUUUGGGACUACAAUUCCCAUCAUCCCUAACUAACAGGACCAGUGGUCAGGGAUAUUGGGAAUUGUAGUCCCAAACAUCUGGAGGGUCGGCGUUUGCCUAUGCCUGAGGUAACAUAUCAAAAGCCCAAAAGCUAAGUAAGAUGCCAGUGAUCAGGGAUUGGCACUUCAGUCACUACCACUCCACCCGAGUAACAAACACCAAAACAAUAACAAUUGCAGAAUAAUUUAUACAAAGAAAAAUCAGCAAAUAUGCAUAAUUUCUAAAGAUAGUAAAAUUUUGCUCUAUUUUUUGCCAUUGCAGAAUUCUAAAUAUAGGUGGAUAUACAUAGCCAUUACUCAACUAUGCUAGUCUGCAGUUUUUCUCCCAAAUAAAUAGCCCUACCUUUGACAUCAGAUUUUCACUCUUGCUUCAGAGUAGGCUGUGAGGCCAGUGUAUUUGGACUAGAUUUAGAAUCACUUCUUAGUUAUUGUGUUUAUUUUGUACCAGAUGAGGCCAAACCAAAUGGGGCAGAUGCAGUGGCAGUGGUGGGGAACUUUUAGCUAUCCUGCAGCUCCCUUUAUCUCUGACCACUCUGGUCACUCUGGCUGAAACUGUUGGGAACUAUAGUCAGGCAAUAUCUGGAGGGCCACAGGAUCCCCACCAAUGCAUUAUAGUAUGCUCAAUCAGCUAUUUAAAAGAACCUACAUUUGGUUCAUAGAUACACUCUGUUUUCUGCUUAUGGCUGCCACGAAAUAUCUCAGUGUACAAUCUCUUUAUUCCAGUUGUAGAAAAAUUAUUAAUAACCCACCCAAGAGGAAUGUAACAAACAUUGUGAAUCGAUGUGGACUUGUGCCUUAUCUGAGCAUGGCACGUUCCCCCUGCCGCCUCCGUGCCAUUUCCAUACUGUUCCACAGGGCUCAAAACCUUCUGAACCAGCUUUUCUGGGGUUGUAAAAUAAUAAAAAAUCACUUCCCCACUCCUUUUCUCUGGCAGGAUUGUCCCAUGAGAAGAGA